rnacentral:lncRNA from 1 species
CUUUGACAUUUUUAAAUAAUCUUCAGUUCAUCAGGAAACUCUUUCAUUGGUGGAAUUAUUUCUCCAUUCUCCAACAUUUUAUCACCUUAGGAAAACAAAGAAGGAUUGAGUACAAAAAUCUUAAAUGUGCAUAGGUAAAUAGUUUACCUGUGUUCUAUGUUGGCCAGACCUUGCAUGAAAAAGGUAGUUAAACUGUGAUGUUCUAUCCCUCCACACCCACCCCUCUUUUUCUUUCUUUCCAGACAGAGGCUCACUAUGCAAUUCAGGCUGGCCUUGAACUCACUGUGUAACCCAGUCUGGCUUGAACUUGUGACAGUCCUCCUGCCUCAGCCCUCCAGGUGCUGAGAUUACAUGCACGUACCACCAUACCAGGUUUGGCAUUCACUUUAAAAAGGACUCAAAGCAGCAGCCAUCUACAGAUAAACAGUAUUCACAGUUUUAAAGUACCAGAGAAAAAAUAAGUUUCACUAAACACAAUAACCAGAAAGGGUGUGACAGUUGUGUUUUCCAGGUGUUGAAAGGAAAUUUCUCUGCAUGGCCCAAGAGCUAGAAGCCCUAGAAAGAAUUUGCAAGGGCAUAUCUUCAGUUCGAUCUAAACAGUGGCCGGCUUCACUUCUUCGGUGCCUCCCCUCAUUCCUCCCUGCUCUGCCGGUCCCUUCAUCCACAGGGGCCCGUGGCUGUGAUUUACACCUGUGUCUCCCCACGUGUGCACUCUUCAAAGACAGUGGCCAGCUUCUUCGUCUGUGCACGUAUCUCCGCGCCCACCGUUCAGAGUCGUAAGCACCAACCAGCGUUCGCAUACUUCUUGGUUUCCUCACCCGAGGAGCGCGGGCAGGCUUUGGGGGACGCCUGAGCUCUGCGAUACCGCAUGGGGUACAAUCGCGUGGUUGGGGG